GUGCCAGCCGCCGCGGUAAUACAGAGACUGCAAGCGUUAUUCGGAUUCACUGGGCGUAAAGGGUGCGCAGGCGGCCAAGUGUGUGAGGUGUGAAAGCCCGGGGCUUAACCCCGGAAUUGCACCUCAAACUACUUGGCUAGAGCAUUGGAGAGGGUAGCAGAAUUCACGGUGUAGCAGUGAAAUGCGUAGAUAUCGUGAGGAAUACCAGAGGCGAAGGCGGCUACCUGGACAAUUGCUGACGCUCAGGCACGAAAGCGUGGGGAGCAAAAGGGAUUAGAUACCCGUGUAGUCC
rnacentral:rRNA from 1 species